rnacentral:tRNA from 1 species
AUUUAGAUAGUUUAAAUAUAAAAUAUUGAUUUGUGGUGUCAAAGAUAUAAAUAUAAUUCUAAAUU